GCAGCCUGGGUUGGCCCCAUGUUUGCGGCAGAGUCCCUGACAAAGUCCCCGACAGUCUUCUGACUACGAAUCAGAAGGCUGGAGGUUCGACUCCUUCCGGGCGCG
rnacentral:tRNA from 1 species